rnacentral:rRNA from 1 species
UACAGAGGGUGCAAGCGUUAAUCGGAAUUACUGGGCGUAAAGCGCACGUAGGUGGUUUGGCAAGCCGGAUGUGAAAUCCCCGGGCUCAACCUGGGAAUGGCAUUCGGGACUGCAAGGCUGGAGUGCGGCAGAGGAGACUGGAAUUCCUGGUGUAGCAGUGAAAUGCGUAGAUAUCAGGAGGAAUACCGAUGGCGAAGGCAGGUCUCUGGGCUGACACUGACGCUCAUGCACGAAAGCGUGGGGAGCAAACAGG